rnacentral:RNase_P_RNA from 1 species
UGAGCCGGGCGAUUGGUCGCUUCGCUAUUAAGUAGCGGAGAGGAAAGUCCGGACUCCAUAGGGCAGGAUGUCCCGUUUAACAACCGGGAAGCCCCGAGCGUGAGCAAGGGGAAUGGAAAGUGCCACAGAAAAUAUACCGCCGGGGCAACCCGGUAAGGGUGAAAAGGUGGUGUAAGAGACCACCGGGUAUUCCGGUAACGGAUACCGCAUGGCAAACCCCAUCCGGAGCAAGAUCGAAUAGGGGACGUGUGGACGGCCCGUCCAAUCCGGAACUUGGUUCCGUGACAGGUCCCGGGUAGAUCGCGUAGAUAAAUGACCAAUCCCUGAGAGGGGAAACAGAAUCCGGCUUAUGUCCUGGCUCCAUCG